rnacentral:rRNA from 1 species
GAUUUCUGGUGUGGCGCGGCCGGCCCGCCGCCCUCUGGGCGUGUGAGUGUCGGUUCGCGUCUACCAUCCUUCUAGAGAGCAGCUCUGCCAUUCACUUGGUUGGGGUUGCGAUCUGGAUCUUUUACUUUGAAAAAAUUAGAGUGUUCAAAGCAGGCUCGCGCCACUGAAUACAUUAGCAUGGAAUAAUAAAAUAGGACUUUGGUUCUAUUUUGUUGGUUUCUAGGACUGAAGUAAUGAUUGAUAGGGAUAGUUGGGGGUGCUAGUAUUGAACGGCCAGAGGUGAAAUUCUUGGAUUCGUUCAAGACUAACUUAUGCGAAAGCAUU